rnacentral:lncRNA from 1 species
UAGGCUAUCAAUACUUCACACUUAUCAACAAUGACCCAAUCACCACACAUCUUCCCAUGGCCUGAGUCUUCACGAUGCCUUUCCCUUACCACGGUCCAAGUCUGAUCCUGAAACCACACGAAUCACAUCACAUACACAUCAAGUCGAUAUCCAAGCAUCAGAUCUAAGAUAGCAUGGUUCGGAUCCUUAAGAACUAGGUUCUGCCCAAAAUUACAUACUCAAAUAAAUUCUUAAAAACU